UCUGUGACUCUCCCUCUCAAAUAAAUAAAAUCUUUAAAAAAGAAAGAAAAGAAGAAUAGAGAUUCUUGGGCAUUUAUUUCUAUAUAUAUUUCUCUGUAUACAGGUGAAGAUGGUGGCACAUGGUUUCUUGAUCUGAAAAACAAGAGCGGGAAUGUUGGAUAUGGAGAGCCCUCUGAUCGAGCAGAUGUGGUCAUGAGUAUGUCUACUGAUGAUUUUGUAAAAAUGUUUUCAGGGAAACUAAAACCAACAAUGGCAUUUAUGUCAGGAAAAUUGAAGAUUAAAGGAAACAUGGCACUAGCGAUCAAAUUGGAGAAACUAAUGAAUCAGAUGAAUUCCAGACUGUGAAAGAAAAGACAAAAAAAGUCCAAGAGAUCAACAGUUAAACCCCAGUGCUUGUUUUCUUCCCUCUUGUGUUAUCAGGCUAUGCAUGUUUGUUCUGGAAAAAAUAGAAUUUCUGUAUCUAUAAGACUUGAAAUUGUAAUUAAAACAGCUAGCUAAUCAAACAUAAGCUUCAUGAGUGGAAUUCUAGGACAUUCUAUGUUUUGUAUUUCAAGGGUUUUGCCCUCUGAGCAACCACUGUCAUCUUUCAGGAAAAGUACAUAUUAUGAGCAACCAGUCAGGGUCAAGCACUAAAAUUAGGUCUUUUCAAAGCUUCUUCUCAUGUAAAAUGAAGUUGGUCUGUUUUAACAUUUUUAGCCUUGAUUGUAUAUUAAUGGAAAUUUUAAUGGUGUUGGAUUUUUAUAUACUUAUUUUAAAGGAAAAAUAGGUGCUUUCUACAGACAUUAUGUAAUAAACUACUUAAUAAAUACUA